rnacentral:lncRNA from 1 species
GAAAACAGAAAGGACAAAGUGACACAAAGGACUGGUCCCUUCAUGCUAGAGCCUACCCAGGUGGAAGCCUGCCAUCUGUACAGGUCAAAGAUCAAAAGCAACAGGGGCAAUCAAUCUUUAUCAAGCAUCACGGAGAAUCUUCUCUGAGAACUUCACAGUCCACAAAGAUCUCUGCUUUAACAGACUACACCUCCUGACAUUCACUAUUAAGGAACUCGCCAUUCAAAGCAAAAACAGAGCAUCACAUCAUUUCAACCAGGACCACAGCCUAAGCUGCAAGAAGACAAUGG